AGAUUGAACGCUGGCGGCAUGCCUUACACAUGCAAGUCGAACGGCAGCGCGGGGCAACCUGGCGGCGAGUGGCGAACGGGUGAGUAAUAUAUCGGAACGUACCCUGGAGUGGGGGAUAACGUAGCGAAAGUUACGCUAAUACCGCAUACGAUCUAAGGAUGAAAGUGGGGGAUUCGCAAGAACCUCAUGCUCCUGGAGCGGCCGAUAUCUGAUUAGCUAGUUGGUGGGUAAAGGCCUACCAAGGCAUCGAUCAGUAGCUGGUCUGAGAGGACGACCAGCCACACUGGAACUGAGACACGGUCCAGACUCCUACGGGAGGCAGCAGUGGGAAUUUGGACAAUGGGCGAAAGCCUGAUCCAGCAAUGCCGCGUGAGUGAAGAAGGCCUUCGGUGUAAAGCUCUUUGUCAGGUAAGAAACGGUGAAGGCUAAGUAUCCUUUGCUAAUGACGGUACUGAAGAAUAAGCACCGGCUAACUACGUGCCAGCAGACCG
rnacentral:rRNA from 1 species